CUAAUCGUACUUAUCGCAGUUGUCGGCUCGCACCAGAUCUCAUCAAUAAAAUCGUCCGUCGGGGGAGUAAAACGUUUUCCUCCGUGUGUUUCCUACCUAGUGCCACAACUUCCGCUCCAAUCCGCUUGGCUCGCCAGCUGAACGGAAGACCGACACGGGCGAACGCGCGACGACGGAAUGAAAUGAACGGCCCAGGGAGGAAAAUUCUCGGAAUCUACUACCGUAAAUGGCGCCAGUGGGGGGCGGCGGAGGCGGUGGGAGACGGUCACGUGAUCCGCAGGCAUGCGUCGACGUUGUGGAAUCGCGCCAUCGUGAUUUAUCGAUAAUCCUCGCUGUCGACGCGCCACAACUGGUCUGUUUCUCUUGGCCUGCCGCUUCUCGUCUACGUCUUUCUCUUUCUCUCUUUCGUCUGUCGGGUGUGCGAAUAAAGAGAAAAAAAAAAAAAA